ACGAAAAAUAACGAUACGGGACUCAUCCGAGGCCCCGUAAUCGGAAUGAGUACACUCUAAACCCUUUAACGAGGAUCAAUUGGAGGGCAAGUCUGGUGCCAGCAGCCGCGGUAAUUCCAGCUCCAAUAGCGUAUAUUAAAGUUGUUGCGGUUAAAAAGCUCGUAGUCGAAUUUGUGUCCCGCGCCGCCGGUUCAUCGCUCGCGGUGUCAACUGGCGUGUCGCGGGACGUCCUGCCGGUGGGCUUAGCUCCCGAGUUGUGGGGCGGCCCAAUCUCAAUCCCACCGCGGUGCUCUUAGCUGAGUGUCGAGGUGGGCCGGCACGUUUACUUUGAACAAAUUAGAGUGCUUAAAGCAGGCUAAAACAUCGCCUGAAUACUGUGUGCAUGGAAUAAUGGAAUAGGACCUCGGUUCUAUUUUGUUGGUUUUCGGAACCCCGAGGUAAUGAUUAAUAGGAACGGAUGGGGGCAUUCGUAUUGCGACGCUAGAGGUGAAAUUCUUGGAUCGUCGCAAGACGGACAGAAGCGAAAGCAUUUGCCAAAAACGCUUUCAUUGAUCAAGAACGAAAGUUAGAGGUUCGAAGGCGAUCAGAUACCGCCCUAGUUCUAACCAUAAACGAUGCCAGCUAGCGAUCCGCCGACGUUCCUCCGAUGACUCGGCGGGCAGCUUCCGGGAAACCAAAGCUUUUGGGUUCCGGGGGAAGUAUGGUUGCAAAGCUGAAACUUAAAGGAAUUGACGGAAGGGCACCACCAGGAGUGGAGCCUGCGGCUUAAUUUGACUCAACACGGGAAACCUCACCAGGCCCGGACACCGGAAGGAUUGACAGAUUGAGAGC
rnacentral:rRNA from 1 species